AGGGUUUGAUCAUGGCUCAGAUUGAACGCUGGCGGCAUGCCUAACACAUGCAAGUCGAACGGCAGCGCGGGUGGCAACACCUGGCGGCGAGUGGCGGACGGGUGAGUAACGCGUGGGAAUCUGCCCUGUAGUGGGGGACAACCUGGGGAAACCCAGGCUAAUACCGCAUACGCUCUACGGAGGAAAACGGGGGAUCUCCGGACCUCGUGCUAUAGGAUGAGCCCACGUUAGAUUAGCUAGUUGGUAGGGUAAUGGCCUACCAAGGCAACGAUCUAUAGCUGGUCUGAGAGGACGACCAGCCACACUGGGACUGAGACACGGCCCAGACUCCUACGGGAGGCAGCAGUGGGGAAUAUUGGACAAUGGGGGAAACCCUGAUCCAGCGAUGCCGCGUGUGUGAAGAAGGCCUGCGGGUUGUAAAGCACUUUCAGUGGGGACGAUGGGCAGAACGGCUAAUACCCGUUUUGUUUGACUUAACCCAAAGAAGAAGCACCGGCUAAUUCCGUGCCAGCAGCCGCGGUAAUACGGAAGGUGCGAGCGUUAAUCGGAAUUACUGGGCGUAAAGCGCACGUAGGUGGUUUUAUAAGUCGGAUGUGAAAGCCCCGGGCUUAACCUGGGAAUUGCAUCCGAGACUGUCUGACUCGAGUAUGCUAGAGGGAAGUGGAAUUCCAGGUGUAGCGGUGAAAUGCGUAGAUAUCUGGAGGAACACCAAUGGCGAAGGCAACUUCCUGGGGCAAUACUGACACUGAUGUGCGAAAGCGUGGGGAGCAAACAGGAUUAGAUACCCUGGUAGUCCACGCCGUAAACGAUGAGAACUAGUCGUCGGGAGGGUCAGCCAUCCGGUGACGUAGCUAACGCGUUAAGUUCUCCGCCUGGGGAGUACGGCCGCAAGG
rnacentral:rRNA from 1 species